UAGAGAAGGACCCCAAGCUGGUUUACCACAUCGGCCUGUCCCCCGCCAAGCUGCCGGACCUGGUGGAGAACAACCCCCUGGUCGCCAUAGAGAUGCUGCUCAAGCUCAUGCAGUCCAGCCAGAUCACGGAGUACUUCUCCGUUCUUGUCAACAUGGACAUGUCCCUGCACUCCAUGGAAGUGGUGAACAGGUUAACGACAGCAGUGGACCUUCCUCCGGAGUUCAUCCACCUGUACAUCUCCAACUGCAUUUCUACCUGUGAGCAGAUCAAAGA